GGGACAAAUGGGGAGCUGUUCCGGGGCACUCAGUUCUCCCAGUCAUACACACAAUGGCGCUAUUUGGAGAAGAGCUUUUCACGAGGAUGAUGUUGGUACAACUUGGUGUACGAAGCCGGGCCAGUAGCUUCGCCUCAAGGUAUCGGGAAGACGAGGAACCAUCCAAGCCGACCCAGUUCGGCAGCGGAGGGAUAUAUAUGAAAAGUAUCUCGCGUCGGACAACCACGAACUUCUCAGUUGGGGACGAAACGCGGCGCCAAGAAGUCAUGGCUUCCAGCUCCUGAGAUGAACAUUCUACAAGUUGAACAUGAUUUAGCUGAGAUGACUAUCCAAAUGGCGACUUGGUUCACGUAGGACACCAACAGCUGGUCAACAACGAUAGCACAUUUAGCAGCGCCUACAACACAUCUUAGCCUUGACGAGCAUCCAAACAGCCGCACAUCGACGGUGACAAAUUUAUGAGGUGACUUUGGAAUAAGCCGCUAUUGUUGGUGUCAGUGUAUCCGUAUAGUAUUUGAAACGGGCGAUGUGAUCUCUUGUUCUCUCUCGAUCCCACCAGACAAUAACCAUACAGGAUAAGAGCGACAACGACGAGGUGUUCCUGACACCCGUAAUCGUGUCCAUCAGGACGACGCAGUUCCGCCACAACGUGCACAAAGACUCUUACCACAGCAAGGAAAGUCAGUCGAGUCCUUCCAUUGCAAGUCAGUGAGACGAGCUGCGUCGCUGGAGGAACCGGAAUAGACGUCCGCGCGCCUUAUAAAGUCGGGAAGGAGGGGAGUCACACAUCACCCAGAACAGCGCCGUCGACAGAAGGAAUGCAACGAGAGGGGAGUGCCAGACCAGUAGCCAAUCGAUUGCUCUGCUACAACCAUAGAAAACCUAAAACUAGUUAGAGAAUUCACGGACUAGUUUUGAGUUGAUUUAUACCAUGGCUAUGUAUAGUGUAUAUAUUGUAGUAGUUGAUUUUACAUUUACAUCAAAGAAUUAGAACCGUACAUAAGGUUAACCUCAGCGACGACGGAACGAAUCGAACCGGAGAUGGAUGUACUAAUGGAGAAAACCCCCAUAGGAAUAUGACGUACAAUUAUUCUGUAUCCAACCUGUGACCGAAGUUAGCGGGGUCAGCAUUAUGUAGUAACGUCAAACUACUUUAACAGUCUCCCGUGCCAAGUGUACGGAAAACCUUGUCUCUGCGUCCUUCCUUUAUUCUAGCUGUGCUAGUCCUAGUCUUCAAAGCGGAAUCUAAACAACAUGGAAUUAUCAAUUGGUUUUAUGUCUUGCUUGAAACAUGUGACCUACGUAUCUUUCAAAUCCAGGCAACCACGUGAAAGGACAUCAUUCCAUAUUGUGAAAAGCGAAAGAUUUAAAAGCAAAAGCUAAAAAAAAUAUCGGCCAAAACCUGUGCCAUAUUGGUCUUUAUUGUCUUGUUUAAAAUACUUGAUUUAACUACUGCUCAAAAUCAACUUUUGUAUAACUCCAAACAACAACCACGUGAAAGCACAUCAUUUCAUACUUUGUAAAAAAAGAUAUCGACAAAAAUCUGACAUAUUGGUCUUCAUUAUGUUUUUUGACCUCGUAAAAGCAUAUCAUCCCACAUUACGAAAAGAAAAGCUCAAAUAACAUUGGCAAAAGCUGUGCUAUGUAUUAGUCUUUAUUAUCUUCUUUAAAACAUCUUAUUUUUCUACCACUCAAAAUCAGACGACUUUUUAUAACUCCAAACGACAACAACUUGAAAGCAUGUCAUUCCAAUUCGUAAAAAGCAAUAGCUGUAUAAGAAAUAACGGCAAAGAGCUGGAACAUAUUGGUCUUCAUUAUAACAUUCAUAUAGCGUGCAAAACAUCGUAAUAAUCUGUAACAGUUUGUACUGCCUAUGAUAUGCAAGGAGUGCUGUCAUUCCCGACUAUGUGAAAAGACCGUUCCCUUAAAUAAUUAACCCUGACACAAAGAAUGCCUUUGCAAAGAAAAAAUAAACGGUUAGAAUAGGUCUCACAUAAGACUGUAGACACUCCCUAAGGUUUAACCAAAAAUCAAUUCCCAAGGGAAUGCAUUCGUGCAAUUUUCUAAAUU